rnacentral:rRNA from 1 species
GACGAACGCUGGCGGCGUGCUUAACACAUGCAAGUCGAACGGAAAGGCCCUGCUUUUGUGGGGUGCUCGAGUGGCGAACGGGUGAGUAACACGUGAGUAACCUGCCCUUGACUUUGGGAUAACUUCAGGAAACUGGGGCUAAUACCGGAUAGGAGCUCCUGCUGCAUGGUGGGGGUUGGAAAGUUUCGGCGGUUGGGGAUGGACUCGCGGCUUAUCAGCUUGUUGGUGGGGUAGUGGCUUACCAAGGCUUUGACGGGUAGCCGGCCUGAGAGGGUGACCGGCCACAUUGGGACUGAGAUACGGCCCAGACUCCUACGGGAGGCAGCAGUGGGGAAUAUUGCACAAUGGGCGGAAGCCUGAUACAGCAACGCCGCGUGCGGGAUGACGGCCUUCGGGUUGUAAACCGCUUCCGCCUGUGACGAAGCGUGAGUGACGGUAAUGGGUAAAGAAGCACCGGCUAACUACGUGCCAGCAGCCGCGGUGAUACGUAGGGUGCGAGCGUUGUCCGGAUUUAUUGGGCGUAAAGGGCUCGUAGGUGGUUGAUCGCGUCGGAAGUGUAAUCUUGGGGCUUAACCCUGAGCGUGCUUUCGAUACGGGUUGACUUGAGGAAGGUAGGGGAGAAUGGAAUUCCUGGUGGAGCGGUGGAAUGCGCAGAUAUCAGGAGGAACACCAGUGGCGAAGGCGGUUCUCUGGGCCUUUCCUGACGCUGAGGAGCGAAAGCGUGGGGAGCGAACAGGCUUAGAUACCCUGGUAGUCCACGCUGUAAACGGUGGGUACUAGGUGUGGGGUCCAUUCCACGGGUUCCGUGCCGUAGCUAACGCUUUAAGUACCCCGCCUGGGGAGUACGGCCGCAAGGCUAAAACUCAAAGGAAUUGACGGGGCCCCGCACAAGCGGCGGAGCAUGCGGAUUAAUUCGAUGCAACGCGUAGAACCUUACCUGGGUUUGACAUGGAUCGGGAGUGCUCAGAGAUGGGUGUGCCUCUUUUGGGGUCGGUUCACAGGUGGUGCAUGGCUGUCGUCAGCUCGUGUCGUGAGAUGUUGGGUUAAGUCCCGCAACGAGCGCAACCCUUGUUCACUGUUGCCAGCACGUUAUGGUGGGGACUCAGUGGAGACCGCCGGGGUCAACUCGGAGGAAGGUGGGGAUGACGUCAAGUCAUCAUGCCCCUUAUGUCCAGGGCUUCACGCAUGCUACAAUGGCUGGUACAGAGAGUGGCGAGCCUGUGAGGGUGAGCGAAUCUCGGAAAGCCGGUCUCAGUUCGGAUUGGGGUCUGCAACUCGACCUCAUGAAGUCGGAGUCGCUAGUAAUCGCAGAUCAGCAACGCUGCGGUGAAUACGUUCCCGGG